AGUGGCGGACGGGUGAGGAAUACAUCGGAAUCUACUCUGUCGUGGGGGAUAACGUAGGGAAACUUACGCUAAUACCGCAUACGACCUACGGGUGAAAGCAGGGGAUCUUCGGACCUUGCGCGAUUGAAUGAGCCGAUGUCGGAUUAGCUAGUUGGCGGGGUAAAGGCCCACCAAGGCGACGAUCCGUAGCUGGUCUGAGAGGAUGAUCAGCCACACUGGAACUGAGACACGGUCCAGACUCCUACGGGAGGCAGCAGUGGGGAAUAUUGGACAAUGGGCGCAAGCCUGAUCCAGCCAUACCGCGUGGGUGAAGAAGGCCUUCGGGUUGUAAAGCCCUUUUGUUGGGAAAGAAAUCCAGCUGGCUAAUACCCGGUUGGGAUGACGGUACCCAAAGAAUAAGCACCGGCUAACUUCGUGCCAGCAGCCGCGGUAAUACGAAGGGUGCAAGCGU
rnacentral:rRNA from 1 species